AGAUUCAGUUCAGCUGACAGUUUCAGAAGAAGAUUCAGCUGACAGUCAUUUCAUUAUCACGUGAACUCUGAUUCUAUUUAUUUUUUCCCCAGAAUUCUUACAAUAGAAUCAGAAAUGACUGAGGAAACGAGGAAAGACCCAAACUCCCCACCUGUAUACAAGUGUUAUUAGAUGCUCAUGGAUCUUGUGGACAUGAAUCUCUGUGUUUUAAAUGAAAAGAUCCUUCUGAUCUUGACAAAUCCAUCAUAAAAACACUGAAAGAGCUCGCUGGAGGCAAACAUCAGCUGAUUUUUCAAGGGGAAAAACUGAAUGUUGCUGAAAAAGAAGCUGCAAAACUGUAUAUGAAGCAAUUCACUGAGGUUGUAUGUAAUGAUUUUAGUCAAUUGUUCAGUUCAGAGACUUUCGGUAGGUUGAAUUGUCUGUACAAUUGAUUAGUAUAUCAUACUUCUUUUUUGAUUUUCUAUCCAGAUUAAUGCGUAAACCGAGAAAUGCUUUACUCUUAAAGGGUUAGUUCACCCAAAAAAUUCUGUCAUUAAUUACUCACCCUCAUGUCGUUCCAAACCCGUAAGACCUUCGUUCAUCUUUGAGAUUUCUGUCCCUCCAUUAAAAGUCAAAAACUCACCUAAUCCUCUGAUGCUUCAAAACAUUUAUAAAUAGAUCAUAAAAUGAAAUCCAUAUGAAUCGACAGUGUUUACAUGAACACACCAAGCCAAUCAUUUUGAUAUAUUUUUAAGAAAUGAAAAAAGAGCACAGUUUUAAAGGAAAGCAACUGAAUGUUUCACAAUAAUCGGUUUGUCUCUAUUAUCGUGUUUUCAUAAUUGACGAAAGCCAAACUCGAAAUCUAAACAAAAAUUUGAUUCAGAACACAGCCCUUAUUUAAAGCAUAAAUGCUGAAGUGAAACCUAUGAUGAAACAUCAAAAAUCAUCUCCAAAAAACCAUAUAGUCAACUGAAAAACAAGAUACAGAAUAUAGAACAAUAUCAUUUACUAAAUUUAAGAACCACUGUUUGUAUUUGCAUUUCAGAUCUUUGCUUGAGCAUUUGUAGAUGGAAGACAAAUCAAGAUCAUUUUAAUGAGAUCUGAGAGAUUUCUGUCCCUCCUUUGAAAGCCUGUUCACUCAAAAGUCUCAUUCUUCAAAACAUUUAUAAGGAGAUGUGUUAGAUUUUGCUGUAUUUGGCUGAGCUGUGGUUUGGGUGGUUCGCCAAUGUACUAGAUUUCUCUAAUACCCUUAAUAAGUAAG